rnacentral:rRNA from 1 species
GAUGAACGCUGGCGGCGUGCCUAAUACAUGCAAGUCGAGCGAACGGACGAGAAGCUUGCUUCUCUGAUGUUAGCGGCGGACGGGUGAGUAACACGUGGCUAACCUACCUAUAAGACUGGGAUAACUUCGGGAAACCGUAGCUAAUACCGGAUAAUAUUUUGAACCGCAUGGUUCAAAAGUGAAAGACGGUCUUGCUGUCACUUAUAGAUAGAUCCGCGCUGCAUCAGCUAGUUGGUAAGGUAACGGCUUACCAAGGCAACGAUGCGUAGCCGACCUGAGAGGGGUAUCGCCCGUCCUGGAACUGAGACGGGGUCCAGACCCCUACGGAGGGCAGCAGUGUGGAAACUUCCGCAAUGGGCGACAGACGGACGUAGCAACGCCGCGUGAGUGAUGAAGGUCGUCCGAUCGUAGACCUCUGUUAUUCGGGAAGAACAUAUGUGUAAGCAACUGUGCACACCUUGACGGGACCUAAUCAGAAAGCCACGGCUAACUACGUG